CGCUAUACAGCGUGGCCUCCAGCUCCUCGAUCCUCUGCACAGCCAGCCAUAUACGCCACAAACACACACACACACGCAAACAUAACGGCAUGCACAUGCAGAUGAAAAAACCCACAAAGGCAUGCACAAGAAAUUAAUAUGAGGCACACAAACACACAACAAUGUGAUCAUGGCAGAUGCGGGUAACGCUCUUACACCUUGUUACGGUUGACCCUCGCAUGGUAACUACUGUAUUUUCACGACCAUAAGGCGCACUUAAAAGUCUUACAUUUUCUCCAAAAUGGACGGGGCGCCUUAUAAUGCGGCGCACCGAGUUCCAACAUCUAUAAAUGUUGUUGUGUGAUGAGCGCUCCACUUGACUUUUUUUUUUUUGGACCGUUUGAUUGAUUGCGAGCAUUUCCUGCCGAGACGCUGCUUAUACAGAGGAAAAGCGGACAUGGCUGAGGACAGCAUGCAGACGUAAAGGGGGAAUUGUGUGUGAAGUACCCCAGUAGGUAUAUAGCGCCGGGGUGUCCAUUGUGAAAAACAAAAUCGGUUUGGCUAAGGACCCCCGAAAAUGGCACCUAGAAGAGUCACGCUUACGAAGCACAGUUUAAAUUGCAAGCUGUCAGUUAUGCGGAGGAACAUGGGAAUCGAGCAGCCGCGAGAGAAUUCAAGAUCAACGAAUCUAUGGUGUGCAAGUGGAGGAAGCAGGAAAACGAGCUUCGCCAAGUCAAGAAGACGAAACUGAGUUUCCGCGGAAACAAGGCGAGAUGGCCCGAGUUGGAAGACCAACUCGAGCAAUGGAUUAAUGAGCAAAGAACAGCCGGUCUCUACAGUCACCAUUCGACUGAGGGCAAUAACGCUUGCAGAAGAAAUGAAAAUUGAACAUUUUCAAGGAGGUCCGUCUUGGUGCUUUUGUUUUAUGAAACGGCGCCAUUUAUCCAUCCGGGCAAGGACUACCGUGGCGCAGCAACUUCCGGCGGAUUACAAGGAAAAGCUGGUUUGAGAGCGAUGGAUGACAGAUGGCGAACACAGCUUUACUAAGACUGGGAGGCAACGCAGGGCGAGUUACACCACCAUAUGUGAAUGGAUUGUGGAUGCUUGGGCUAAGAUGUCUGCUCGCACUGUUGUAAAAGCCGGCAUGAUUUCUGAGGAGCCGCACGGCAACGAGACUGACUCCGACGAGUACGAGAGGGAACCUGACGUGUUUGAUAGAGAACUUGCCCAGCUGUUCAUUUCGGAUACGGAAUAUGAGGACUUUGAUGGAUUUGUGGAUGAGGAUUGAUCAAAAAAUAACGGCUCACCUUUUCACACAGAGAUAUGACUGUACCGGCCUGGAUCACUGCAACCUGCUCCUCAUUUCGGAGAUUCUGGACAGGCAAAUAUUCCAGCACCCGGAAUUCCAGCAGCUCAUUCUGGUCCCGAGCAUCCUGAACCUCGGCCUGGAGCCGUGACUCGGCCUGCUGCAGUGCACACAUCUGCAAACAAGAGUAGAUCAUUAAUAUAGUAUCGGUGGUUUGGCAGGGUCUCAAUGCACUAAGAAUUGUCUGGAUGUAAUUUAAACGAAAUGAGACUUCAUUUACUCUAUAGUGGUGGUACACGUACAGUGAGAUUCACACAAAUGUUAACAUUUUCAUUAUGGAGUUGCACAACAUUGGGACACCACCUCUUUUUCAUAAACAUUGAAAGAAAGCUAUUCAUUUAUAAUAAGAGCAUAAGCAUAUAACUAAUGUUUAUAAUGGUAGUUUUUCAGAGACGUAGGACUGCACUGUAUCAUUUUGAGAGGUGUUUAUAUUUUGGUUUGUGUGUACCCCUCGUCUCGCCCAAUAUCAGCUUAAAUAAGCUCCAGCGUACCCGCAAACCUAAUAAACACAGGCAAUAUUUGUUGCAAAAUAUAAAAAAAUACUACUUAGUACGAAUCACUCCUAAACCACUGCCAUUAAGAUACCGUUGAAAUACUUUCUAAAAGACAAAGCUUUGUAAAGGCUGAAUUAGAGCUACGUUAUCUUACCUAAUGACCUUGUGAUGUACCCAAUAUUGGGGCCAGUGAUCAUAUACUACAGCAGUAUGUAAACUACCUUUUCAUGAAGUUCCUGGUUCAUCCUGAGCAAGUACUGCUUCUCAUCCACCCACUUUGAGUCCUGCCACAGCAACCAGACAGAACAUCAGAAAUAAAUGGCACUCACAGGCGGAGGCAGACAGUGGAAGAGCAGUAAGAGAGGAAAAUGUCAGAACUCAAACAAAGCUGCCAGAUAGUGGCCAGUGCCUCUAAUUCCAAAGGACACAUGCAAAGGGAACAUAGACACAAAGAGAGAAUAACAGAGUGGCAGAAGCAAAACUUUAUUGGUACAAAGAAAGGAAGCCCUCUUAAGAGGUAACGAGGAAAAGCAUGCUCAUAAAGCCACACUCUUCAAGAUGUUUACAGUGACAGAAGGCAAUCAGAGAAGAAAUACAGCAGAGCAGCAAAUCACAACACUGCUGGAUCAUGCAUGCAUGCAGCAACACAAAAGAUUCAUUCAAAAUAAAACAUGCGUACCGGUACUUAUCAGACAGUGGCAAAGUUAGGUGGAUAAGCCAAGACUUUACUAUAUAAGCAUUUGUUUUUGAUCCAAUAUAAAAUAUAUGUAGUACCGUAAUUUCUCGUGUAAAAUGCGCAUUUCACCCCACCCCCCCAAAACAUUGUCAAAAGUCAAUAGUGCGCUUAAUACAUAGGUAUAGGGGAAAAUGGAAAAAAACUUUCACAUUUUAUAAAUGUAUGCCGCCAUUUA